CUGUCUCAGUCAGUAGAGUUCAUGACUUGAUCUCGGGGUUGUGAGUUUGAGCCCCAUGUUGGCUGUAGAUUACUUAAAAAAAAAAAAAAAAGAAAAGCUGUUGAGUUGCUUACAAAACUUGCUAUUAAACUAGGUAUACUUGAAACUAUAAAUACAGACUGGAGGAAAAAAAUACAGACUGGAGAAGAGUAAAUUAUCUAGAAUUCUUGAGUCCCAAUUCUUUCACAAUGUCUAAAUUCUUUAUGCAUUUAGGAAGAAGUCCAAGCUGGGGCACCUGGCUGGCUCACUCAGUAGAGCAUGCCACUCUUGAUCUUACUAGGGCUGUGAGUUUGAGCCCCAUGUUGAGGGGUAGUUUACUUAAAAAUAAAAAAAAUUCCAAGCUAAAAAUCGUAGGUAAUGCAUGACUAUUGUGAAUGAAGGUCCUUGCCUAAUUGUCCUCAAUUUUAGUUUAUUAACUGAACGUACGACAGGCUAACUUAAAGGUACAACUUUUCAUACUUAACUUUUUGAUUGUCAAACUAUUUGUCCCAAUCAUAUAUAAAAGGGGCUUUCUUUUAAGUUCCUGCUAGAAUUUUGGUUCGCGAGAAAACACUGGCAUGGGCCGACACAAGGAGUCAGUGCUUAAAGGUGCACUCCUCUUGAACUUCUCGUUGGGGGAAACAGAAAGAAUAAUCCUUUGGCCUCCACUCACCUGGAACAGAUCAAAUGACAUCACAAUUCCAUCCCUCCAUCGCAAUGCAGCAGGUUAUCCUGAAAAUAAAAGACAUCCAAACUCA